rnacentral:lncRNA from 1 species
UGGCUCUGAGGACAAACCCACACCUUACCAAACACCCUUAAUAGCCCAUAAUUUCCUUCGUCAACAACAUGUUCAUCUAAACCAUGUACGACCUCAAUAAUAAAUGAAACUUACGACCAAAAAUUUGAAGGACAACCUCACACUAGACCAAGCACCUUGUUUCCUUCUUUUCGGCCUAGGCGACUGACGGAAGGAACUUUUGGUCUUUCUUCUUUUUUGAGUGCGGGGCGUGCCACUACCAAGCCACAAAUUUGGUUUGGAUGGAAUGUGAAUGUAUGUUAUAUACGAGAUAUGACUUUAAUCAAACAAUUAUUCGGCCGAGUAAGAACCUCCUCACGGCCUAAGUUCUUUCACUAUGUCGAGGUCAAGGCUUUAUGUGAGCAACCAAAUGAUGUGGAGUAAGAGGAGAUGAAGAUUGAAGGUGAAACGAAGAACAAGUGCAUAAAGUAAGGGUGCUUAAACUUAAGUAUAAUUUAAAGAUAAAUGCGUAAAAUAAAUAACGUAAAGACGAC